UCAGGGAUGUAGUAUAAAGUGUGUAUACUACACAGGUACAGUCAGGGAUGUUGUUUAUAGUGACAGGUACAGUCAGGGAUGUGGUAUAAAGUGUGUUUACUACACAGGUACAGUCAGGGAUGUUGUUUAUAAUGACAGGUACAGUCAGGGAUGUUGUUUA